rnacentral:lncRNA from 1 species
UGCUAUAAAUAGAGGUGCUUGCCUUUAUUGUAAAUCAUCACAAAAAUUAGAGUGUUCAUCACCAAGAAGAGUGAGAACAACAGUGAUCCUAGAUAGUGAUCCUCGUUUGUGAGUUUUUGAGAGUUUUUUUUAUGAGUUUUGUAGAUACUCGUGUAAUCUAUUCUUGUGAGUAAUAGAGGUUGUUUUUCUCUCAAAUUUGUGUUUACCAAACGCCCAAUCGAUCCACAUACCCCAACAAAAGAUCCUUUUGUCAAUGAUUAGUGCACAGAAAAAAAGGCGAGACAGAGAAAAUGGUUGCAAACAAAGAAAAUCUUUUCUGAAAAGUGUUCUGGAAAAGUUUGGAGUUUUUCUUUGUUCUUGAGGUGUUUGUACUAGGAUUUCAGAAAAUGGGGAGGAAAUUUGGGUUUAUUCAUUGCUUAUAUUGCUAAGCUAAGGUAGGAACUUCAGAUUUCUUUGUUUCUUCUGGCUGUUUUUUUCUUUUGCUAGGUAUUUUUUCUGAUCUUUUGUAUCCUUGUUGAGUUUCUGUUAAUGAAAUUUUGGUUUCUUUAAGCAACUCAGUAUAAUCUAAUAAAUAUGAUAAUUUAGUUGUGCUAACUGCCUGGAUUUCCUUCUCUAAUAAUCUAUUUCGUGUGUAUGAUACCUGAACUAAGGGUUUUAUUUAUUUUCAUUCAAUAAUUGGUUCAAUGUUGGAUUGCUCCUUUGUUUGGAUAUUGAUUUAUGUUUGAGGUGAUAUUAAAGACAACAAAUCUAUUCAUUCCCUUUUUUUUGAAAAGGUCGUAGAUUAACAAGUUCUGUUAUUUAGAUUCUGAUGUUUCAGGUUCCACGUUUGCUCGAAAUUGUUUAAGCGGUGGUUGACAUCUAUGUAGGAACAUGGAUGUUGAACUGUAAAAGAGUUGGUUUUUAGGUGGAAAUACAAAUGAGAUUGGUUUUGUAUUACUUGUGCAAUAUAUUUUUUACAAAUUAAUUAUGCCUCUUGAUAGCAAAAUUUGGAGGUUUAGUAUCAGGAUUGUAGGAUAGGGGUUCCUAAAGUUUUUCGUACUCCUCACCCUGGGUUGGGUGAGGCUUGGCAGGGCUAUCCAAGAUGGUUUGUGUAUUGGAUUGUAUCUCCUUUACGGUAGUUAUUUAUGGUAGUUAUUGUCUGAUAUUCAACAAAAAUAUGGUAUUUUAUUUAUGGUUCUUAUGUUUAGAAAAUUAUACACGUUAUUCCUGCUGGAGUUACUAAUCCUCUUUUGUUUUUGUUUUUGUUUAUAUUUUUCCUUUCUUCACCGAGCCGAGGGUCGAUUGGAAACAACCUCUCUGCCCUCUCGGGUAGGGGUACGGCCCGUCUACAUAUUACCCUCCCCAGACCCCAAUUUGUGGGACUAUACUG